GCGGUAAUAGCUCAGUUGUAAAAGCUGAAGGAGAGCGUUAGACUGAAGAUCUAAAGGUCCCUAGUUCGAAAUAAUAUAAUUAGAAAACCUGGGUUGCCGCA
rnacentral:tRNA from 1 species